UAUUAGACCUCGUGCUACAUGUUGGCGAU
rnacentral:sRNA from 1 species